UGUAUCAAAUUCUUCCUUCCAAGUCCUUGGUUGGUUCUUGGUAGCUCAAUCCAGGGAGAUGUGCCAUCUUUUGGUCUGGGCUGCGUUCCUCAUGGAACUUCUGAAAGCAAGCGCUGGACAGUCGGUUGACCAAACUAAAGGUACCGUGACUGUGAGUGAAGGGGAUCCUGUAC